rnacentral:lncRNA from 10 species
CUAUGCCCUAGGGCUAGUGGAAGACUUAAGAUGGCGGCGUUUGCACGGAGUGCAAUCACUGCGUCCUUACGGGGGUUGCAAGGCGUCCGAAGUAUGAGUCCACUAACAAAAGUCCAGAAACUCGCCAGUUAAUAGUAUUGUGUCUCUUCAAAAUAUCGGAGAAUAAUUUCUUUCUCGCUGAUCGCCUAACUUCUACUGACGAAGCUUGGAAGUUGCAGAAGAUGGAGUUCGCUCUUGUUGCCCAGGCUGGAAUGCAAUGGCAUGACCUUGGCUCACUGCAACCUCUGCCUCCCCAGUUCAAGUGGUUCUCCUGCCUCAGCCUCCCGAGUAGCUGAGAUUACAGAAAUACAAAAAAAAUUCUAAAACUUGUAUGGAACUACAAAAGACAUUAAAUAAUCAAAGUAAUCUUGAGCAACAAGGACACAGCUGGAGGCAUCACUCUACCUGAUUUUGUAAUCCAUUAUCAAAAAACUGUGGUACCAGCAUAAAAACAGAUUCACUGACCAGUGGAACAGGAAAGCCCAGACAUAACUCAUACAUUUCCAUCCAAUUGAUUUUUGACAAAAGUGGCACACAGAAUGGGGAGAGGACAAAUAAAUAAAUAAAUUGUUUUGAGAUAUCUGUA